rnacentral:rRNA from 1 species
CCUAGGGUGGCAGCAGUGGGGAAUAUUGGACAAUGGGCGAAAGCCUGAUCCAGCCAUGCCGCGUGUGUGAAGAAGGCCUUCGGGUUGUAAAGCACUUUCAGUGGGGAAGAAAGCCUUGGGGCUAAUACCCUCGAGGAAGGACAUCACCCACAGAAGAAGCACCGGCUAACUCCGUGCCAGCAGCCGCGGUAAUACGGAGGGUGCGAGCGUUAAUCGGAAUUACUGGGCGUAAAGCGCGCGUAGGCGGUCUGAUAAGCCGGUUGUGAAAGCCCCGGGCUCAACCUGGGAACGGCAUCCGGAACUGUCAGGCUAGAGUGCAGGAGAGGAAGGUAGAAUUCCCGGUGUAGCGGUGAAAUGCGUAGAGAUCGGGAGGAAUACCAGUGGCGAAGGCGGCCUUCUGGACUGACACUGACGCUGAGGUGCGAAAGCGUGGGUAGCAAACAGGACUAGAUACCCCUGUAGUC